UGGGCAACCUGCCCUCAGCUCUGGGAUAACUCCGGGAAACCGGGGCUAAUACCGGAUACGACCUUCCCUCGCAUGGGGGUUGGUGGAAAGUUCUUCGGCUGAGGAUGGGCCCGCGGCCUAUCAGCUUGUUGGUGGGGUGAUGGCCUACCAAGGCGACGACGGGUAGCCGGCCUGAGAGGGCGACCGGCCACACUGGGACUGAGACACGGCCCAGACUCCUACGGGAGGCA
rnacentral:rRNA from 1 species